AAAUCUUUGCCCAUUUUGAUUGGUCAUACAAACGAUUCUAAAUAUUUGCGACGCCGAGUGCCGAGUGAAGUGCAUUAAAACUGAAGGUGUUUAUUUAUUAGUGUUGUUGGUGCGCACUUGUCACCUUUUGUAUCUUUUCAUAAUUCAAAACUCUAGUCUCAUCCUAGACGGUGCCAAAAGUUGUGGUCAGUUUUAAGACUCGUUAGGGUGUUGCUAAUAACGAGAAGAAGUCAGCAUGACUGGUGGAAGCAGCACUGAAAAAUCAGCCAAUAAUCCUUUAGAGCAGUUUGUAUUGCUUGCAAAAACUGCAAAAGGCGCUGCUGCCAUAGAACUCAUAAGGCAAGCUGUUGAAACACCUGGUGUUCAUGUUUUUGGUGAAUUAUUGGACAUGCCAAAUAUCAAAGAGUUGGAGAAUGGACCUUAUGUUCAAUAUUGGAAUACUUUGAAUUUGUUUGCAUAUGGCACCUAUAAAGAUUAUUUGGAAAAUAAGGAGAAAGUAUUAGAGUUAACUCCUACGCAAAAAAAGAAGCUUCAACAUCUUACAAUUGUCACGCUUGCUACAAAAAACAAAUGUAUACCUUAUUCGGUACUGUUGGAAGAGUUAGAUAUAAAGAAUGUCAGAGAUCUAGAGGAUUUGAUUAUUGAAGCAAUAUACGCAGACAUAAUUCAUGGAAAAUUAGAUCAAAAAAACUCACAGUUAGAAGUAGAUUAUGCCGGUCUGGGACGAGACGUUCGACCAGGUGAUACUGGUGUAGUAGCUGAGACCUUAGCAGCUUGGGGUGAAGCGUGCGAUACGGUUUUAUCUUGUAUCGAGGAUCAAAUAUCUAGAGCUAAUGUUGAGAAACAAAAAGCUACUUAUCACAAAGAAAGAAUACAGAGAGAUAUUACUAAUAUAAAGAAAUCUCUCGCGGCUCAAGCAGGAGGUAGUAGCAUUCAAGAAGCUGAUGUAGCUGGCGGUAGUUCUGGCGCAGGAGGAAGCGAAUCGAGUAGAGAAGCUAUGCCGGUGCUAUCGGAAAAGAAGAAGUUACAGAAGGUCAAAUGUAUCAAAGUCAGUGGUAAGUUUUGGAAGACAUAAAUUCAAUAGUCCUUUCUUGCACAAUGUGCAUUCUUUGCAUCAUUUAUUUGUUCAUUGAAUCGGAUUUUACGCUUCAAAUUUGUUGUAAAAUAUUGAGGCUAAAUAAUUGAAUUGAAAGUGAUGAAAAAAUUAUCGAAUAUUUUUAUGUUGAUUUUUUAGUUUAGAUUAUAUUGAAUGAUAAAUGAAAAGGGUAAUAUUAAAAUUACAUGCAAUGAAUAACUUAUGCCAAAUCGAAAAUCCUUUAUGUAUCUGAAAAAUAUCGAAUUUAUAGAGAUUUUUAGAAUAAAGUAGGGAAAUAAUAUUUUAUAGAACAUGCUCUAUAAAUAUAAUAUCAAACAGUAUACAAAUAUGUAAGACUAUUCAAUUUUAUGUAAUGUUUAUGGGAGUUACCAUGCUACAAUAGCGAAUAAAAUCAAGAGUAUUUUUUCUUAUUGAAAUACAUUUGUAAGAAUGAUUUAUUGACACACAUCAUAUAGAACUUUUUAGAAAAACCGAGAUCAAUUUCCACUUUAUUAAUAGCUGCAAUAUGUGUUUAGGGAAACCAGUAAUAUAUACAUACACAUACAUAUUUUAUACACAUAUAUACAUACUUUUACUGUGAUCAUUUCAAAUAUCUAAUAUAGUUAAUCUUUGCUGUAUAAACGAUUUCGGUAGUUGUUUGUACAAAAUUUAUCAUUUAGUCACGGAGUUAAUCAUUUAUUUAUUUAUAUUGAAUAUAUAAAGAGUUUUAAUACAUACGUACAAAGUAUACCUAGCGAAAUAUGUGACGAUUGUCUUUAUACAUCGAGCAUUUGAAAACAAUGAAUCUUUUCUUUGCAACAAAGAUAAUUUUGUAGGGCGUGAAGAAUUUAAUUAGGAUUUGACUCUAGAUGAAAAUUUGAUAAAUAAUGCAAUGCAUUGCAUAUUUAUCAAUGCAUACGUGCCUACCCAUUGCCAGUUAUCACAUAAAACGGUAUGCCCAUCGUGACGAGUUGAUCGAUGCUUACGUGUACUUCCAACGAUAGUAUCGUUUGUAUUGUUUGCGUUCAGACUUUACAGAUUCUCGUUUCGUAAGGAUUUGUAAUCGCUAAACACUUUAUUGACAAGUAUAAGUCGGAGAGGUCGUUUUUGAAGAAAUUCGUAUGUUCAGAGAAUUAGCAAGGUAUGCUACUGAUGUAGUUUAGCAAAAAAGAAAAAAUGUCAGUGGUCCAUUGAAGAGCGUUGUAAUUGCUAUUCGAAUAAAAGGAUAAUAUAUUUUA